GUGUGGUGUGUGUGUGUGUGUCAGCUCCCUCACCUGCCAGCUGCCCAGUCACCUCCACAGUCAACGUCGAGGCAGCCUACCAAAGUUCCGUCCAGCCCAGGCCCUGUCCGAAAAUCUGACUUACCCCAGCCCCUGAUUGUGGCAGAGGCUCCGCCCCCUGACCCGUCCGUGGCUCCGCCCCCAUACCACACGAAGCUCCGCCCCUAGCAUCUGAUGUGUCAAUAGCAGCACAUAAGCCUCUUCAUUGCUGUGGUCAUGUAUUCUGGAGCAGUCGGCCAGCACAUGAUAAACAGGACAGUAGAACCAUGAGGCUUCAUAGGAUCUUUUAAUCAUGAGAUAUGCCUGUUUCCUGCACCUGCAAUGCUGUGAGUCCUAGUACUCCUUUGGGUCUUGGCUAUUAGUAUGCAAGCAACUAACUCUCACUCCUGUUCUGUUUAAGUGGUAAUGAGUGUUUGGGAAGAUCCAUACAAGAUCUAGGUGGUAAAGUCCAGCGAGAGUCAAAUGGCCGGCGGAGUCAAGCCAGCACCGCAAGGCAAGAGAUAAUCCAGCGCUUGGCAAGCUGAGGCGAAACAUUGAUUCCUACACGGAAGGGCAGGUGCAGAGGCUACACCUCUGUGUCUGUACAGUCUGUUCUUGACGAUACCCCUGCUUGCUGAUUUUGGUUCUGAUCCAGCGGAUGAUCCUGAUGAAGACCAAGGCUUCGGAUUGGGGUAGCAGCCAUUGCUGAUUCAGGGCCUUCGCAGCUAUGAUUAAUUACGCAGCAGCUGUGCGAAAAUAUGCAAAUGUUGCAGACACCAGGAUUUGUAUUGAGAUGCCCACUGAAGCGUCUGACAGCCGCCGCUUGUGUAUGAAGAUGCAGACAUUGGACGCACAUAUUGUACGGUGAUAAUUGACCUUACGGGCAACCCUGUGGCCGCUGGAUGUAAGAUUUUUAUCUGCGCACAGGAUCACAGUUGUAAGCUGUGACCCUCCCCCCCUCCCAAAAUGACACAUCUGUGUUUGAUUGGUCACUCACCAUUUCCUCCCUCAAACGCCCCCUUACUGUCACUCACUUUGAAUAAAGCCUCACUGUGACUGUGUUGUAAAACCAUCUCAGCAAAUGUGCAGUGCGAUUUAUAUAUAUGUGCGCAGUAGCAAAACAUCCACAGGCAGGCAGAUUUACCCAUUUUCACUGCAAGAAUUUUUGCGCAAAUCCUGUUUUCACGAUUUUGGAAUUUAAUAGGUGCAAAUUCAAAAAUCGCGAAUAAUAGGAUUUGCGUGAAAAUUCUACACUGAAAAUGGGGAAGUCAGUCUGAACAAAAAUGCCAAAUUAACAUAGGAUAACAGUAUAGAAGUGUAUUAGAGGUCAUCUUAAAUAGAGUUGGGGUAAUAAAUUGCGUCAAAUGGCUGUUAUAUGCAUUUUUUUUAAAUAAAAAAAUGAUCAAAGCUAUUUUUUUUCAGCAAAAUAAGUGCUCUCAUUAAAUUCGGGGUACAUAAAAAUGGGUAUAAGUAUAUACUGUAUUCGGGUCAUUGUAGGAGACUUGGAAAAAAAAGUGGAAAAAGACUGACUACUCCCACCUGCAAGUCUAAAAACAUUUGUCUUAGGCAUAAAGCACCCUAAUAUAUCUGUCACAUACUUUGAACCCCAAAUUCCAUUGCACUUUUUCACCCCAAAAAUGACAUUAUUAGCCAGUUAAAAAUAAUGAAAAUACCUACAUAGUCAUUAGGGGGAAAGGGGGGGGUUGUGAACCAGGGCUUCGGAGCCAAAUCAUGACAUUUUUACCUUGAAAUAGAGAUUUUUCCCAACUUUGCACCCGCUCAGAGUAGGUGAAGUGAAAUUCACGCUUAAAUUAUCGAUGAUAAAUUAUUGCAGCUAUUUGAAUAGAGGUCUUUCACGAUUUGCAGUAAAAUCCCAGUUUUUCGUGCAAAAAUCGGGUUAUUGCAGCUAAUUGAAUACUCCCCUAUGUGUAAUUGGAAAUCUGCACAUACACAUAGAAAUAUACAAAUGAAAAUACUCCCCUGGCGGGCAAAAUUAUAUUCAAUAAUAAUUUUAAUUUUUAAUGUGAGAAUUAUAAUGAAACAUUAAAAU